rnacentral:rRNA from 1 species
GGGUGCUUCUUCGGAAGAAGUAACCCGGCGGACGGCUCAGUAACACGUGGAUAACUCGCCCUUGGGUCCGGGAUAACCCCUGAGAAAUUGGGGACAAUACCGGAUAGGGCAUCGAUUGCUGGAAUGCGCGAUGUCCAAAAGCUGAGGCGCCCAAGGAUAGGUCUGCGGCCGAUUAGGUUGUUGUUGAUGUAAUGGAUCAACAAGCCUGCAAUCGGUACGGGUUGUGAGAGCAAGAGCCCGGAGAUGGGUUCUGAGAAAAGAACCCAGGUCCUACGGGACGCAUCAGGCGCGAAAACUUUACAAUGUGCGAAAGCACGAUAAGGGAACUCUGAGUGCCUCCUAUGGAGGCUGUUCAGGUGUCUAAAAAGCACUUGAAGUAAGGGCUGGGUAAGACCGGUGCCAGCCGCCGCGGUAACACCGGCAGCCCAAGUGGUAGCCACGAUUAUUGGGUCUAAAGCGUCCGUAGCCGGCCAGGUAAGUUCUUUGGGAAAAUUUAACCCGCUCAACGGUUAAGCUUUCAGGGAAUACUGCUUGGCUUGGGGCCGGGAGAGGGUCANAGGUACUUCAAGGGUAGGGGUGAAAUCCGUUAAUCCUUGAGGGACCACCAGUA